GACGAACCGUGCGAACGUUAUUCGGAAUCACUGGGCUUAAAGCGCGUGUAGGCGGAUGGGGACGUCGGUCGCUGAAAUCCCCCGGCUCAACCGGGGAACUGGCCCCGAAACGCCCCGUCUGGAGGAACGUAGGGGGAUCUGGAACUUCCGGUGGAGCGGUGAAAUGCGUUGAGAUCGGAAGGAACGCCCGUGGCGAAAGCGAGAUCCUGGACGUUUUCUGACGCUGAGACGCGAAAGCUAGGGUAGCGAACGGG
rnacentral:rRNA from 2 species